rnacentral:lncRNA from 1 species
AUUAAGAAUUAAAUAAAUAGGAAACAAAUGGCAAGAUAAAAAAAAACUAGCGCUGGGAGCUAACGAGCAAUUUUCUUUUUGAGUCUCACUGCUUAUCAUUAUCAGUUUCAAAAAGACAAGAAGUGUGUGUCCUAUAGUUGCUUACAUCCUGGAAAUUUGAUCUAUUGGAGAUGCUUGUUUUUUUGGGCAAUCAUACCACACCAUCCUACUUGUAUAGAAUCAAACCACAC